AGCGAACGCUGGCGGCAGGCCUAACACAUGCAAGUCGAACGAACUCUUCGGAGUUAGUGGCGGACGGGUGAGUAACACGUGGGAACGUGCCUUUAGGUUCGGAAUAACUCAGGGAAACUUGUGCUAAUACCGAAUGUGCCCUUCGGGGGAAAGAUUUAUCGCCUUUAGAGCGGCCCGCGUCUGAUUAGCUAGUUGGUGAGGUAAAGGCGCACCAAGGCGACGAUCAGUAGCUGGUCUGAGAGGAUGAUCAGCCACAUUGGGACUGAGACACGGCCCAAACUCCUACGGGAGGCAGCAGUGGGGAAUCUUGCGCAAUGGGCGAAAGCCUGACGCAGCCAUGCCGCGUGAAUGAUGAAGGUCUUAGGAUUGUAAAAUUCUUUCACCGGGGACGAUAAUGACGGUACCCGGAGAAGAAGCCCCGGCUAACUUCGUGCCAGCAGCCGCCGCAG
rnacentral:rRNA from 1 species